CCGAGCUAGGGGUACAAGUCCUGCAGUAUUGCGUUCCUCUGGACCUAAGCAUAGUGCCGAAAGGCCUGCGACGACGCUCGGCGUUAAGGAAGAGAGUAUCGGACGCGAUGUCUUCCUUGACG
rnacentral:sRNA from 12 species